rnacentral:rRNA from 1 species
CCUACGGGGGGCAGCAGUGAGGAAUAUUGGUCAAUGGACGAAAGUCUGAACCAGCCAAGUCGCGUGAAGGAUGACUGCCCUAUGGGUUGUAAACUUCUUUUAUACAGGAGUAAACCGGUACACGUGUGUCUUUCUGUAUGUACUGUACGAAUAAGGAUCGGCUAACUCCGUGCCAGCAGCCGCGGUAAUACGGAGGAUCCAAGCGUUAUCCGGAUUUAUUGGGUUUAAAGGGUGCGUAGGCGGGUUGUUAAGUUAGAUGUGAAAGGUUGGGGCUUAACCCGAAAAUUGCCGUUGAUACUGGUAGUCUUGAGUGCAGAUGAGGUAGGCGGAAUGCGUGGUGUAGCGGUGAAAUGCUUAGAGAUCACGAAGAACACCGAUUGCGAAGGCAGCUUACUAAACUGCAACUGACGCUGAGGCACGAAAGCGUGGGUAGCAAACAGGAUUAGAUACCCUGGUAGUC